CGGGGCCCUGAAUGCGUGCGGAGAUGGUUGUGUCCCGGGUAUCUGUGGCAUCAGGCGGGAAGUGAGACAGGUCCCGCCCAUGUUCCGGGAAGGGAGGGCCCUGUCCCGGGACCUGUGACGUCACAUGGAAAGUGAGUGGGGUCCUGCGCUCCGUGUGCACGUGUGGGGGUGUUGUGUCCGGGGAGCUAUGUCAUCAUGGCAGGAAGUGAGCCUGGUCCUGCCCCCUGUGCGGGGAAGGCUGUGUCGGGGGAACUGUGACGUCACGGCGGAAACAGGAGCACGGCUGCAUGUCCUGCAGCUCAUUCACGUGGAGACUCUAGGCCUUUCCUCAUCAGCAGCAGUGAGAAAGCGCAAAGGAAGCCCUCUGGCUGGCGUGCCAGAGCCAUGUCCCACCAGGACCCAUGCCUGCCCCCUGACUCACGCGGGCCGCCGGCCUGCCCAGGCCGUGCUCUUGUGUAACCGGGUGGGGGCCCAGGGGAGUGGUCCUGGGUGAAAGCGGCCGUGCCUCCCAAAACCUGGAAAUGACUCUAAAGGUGACUGGCCCACCAGGGAUCUCUUGGAGUUUUAAUUUUUAUUGCCGAAAUGGGGAACUACUGCAGAUUCUUGCGGAGGUGUUCUUCCUGGCGGACGAAGUGGGAGCCUCAGCCUCCGGGAGAGGUGGUGGAGGACACUGCAGAUGUCUGCGCCUCCGAGGUCUCACGGGGCCCUGUGCGCAUUAAUUUUAGGUGUCAACUUGGCUGGGCCAUGUUGCCUAGAAUGUGGCCAAAUAUUAUUCGGGAUGUUUCUGUGAGGAUGUUUUUGAUAUUUUAUGUUCGGACUGUUGGACUUUGACUAAAGCAAAUUGUUCUCUGUGAUGGGGGUGGGCCUCAUUCCAUCAGUUGAAGGCCUGAUGAGAGCAAAAACACUGAUCUCCCCCAAGUAAGAGGGACUCUUCCAGCAGACGGCCUUCAGACAGGACCCGCAGCGUCGGCUGCUCCUUGGGCCUCCAGCCUGCAGCCUCGUCAGCCUCCACAGUCACGUGAGCAAUUCCUUCAAAUAAACCUUUCUCUCUCCA